GGCUGAUCCAAAGGUAGUGAGUUAUCUUAAUUGAUUGUUCACAGUCAGUUACAGAUCGAUCUCCUUGUUCUCUCUUUCCCUCCCUUCUCACUACUCACUCGACUAGUCUAAA
ensembl:Y_RNA Y_RNA Y RNA